UACGAAUUUCAGUCUGAUUGCAAAGCCU
rnacentral:sRNA from 1 species